rnacentral:rRNA from 1 species
CACGUAGGCACCAAGCGUUGUCCGGAUUUAUUGGGCGUAAAGAGCUCGUAGGCGGUUCAGUAAGUCGGGUGUGAAAACUCUGGGCUUAACCCAGAGACGCCACUCGAUACUACUGUGACUAGAGUUCGGUAGGGGAGCAGGGAAUUCCUGGUGUAGCGGUGAAAUGCGCAGAUAUCAGGAGGAACACCGAUGGCGAAGGCACUGCUCUGGGCCGAAACUGACGCUGAGGAGCGAAAGCGUGGGUAGCAAACAGG